GGUGGUUGCCUGUGACGUCACCGGACGCGCCCGCUUCUCGCUGGAGUGCGCACCGAGCGGCAGUGACUUCGCCGCUGCUGUAGUUCCCCGGCUGGAUGCGGUGACUGGUGCCAGUGCUCAGGCGCCCGCUGCCCUUGACCUCCCGCCCCGCGAGCCCUAACUCAGCGCAGGAGGACCGGCUGCCGCCGCCGCCGCCGCCAGGAGGUAGAUUGGGAAGUGGAGCUGGCCGUGGUCAUUGGAAAGAAAGGCAAGCACAUCAAGGUGAAGUGGAAAAGGUGGGCUCCCAGGCCAGAGUGCAGCAGAGUCCCCAGCUCCUGCCUCUCCUAGUUCUGACCUCGCUCACCAACACAUGGUGCCAGCUGUCCCUGACACUAGGAAGCAGUCAGCCUCCUUGCUCCCUGACACUGCCUUUCCCUUCACCCACCUUUGGCUGGCUCUGGCUACUAACAUGGGAUAACAGCUUUGAGAUCCCUUGCCACAGGUGUUGGUGUCACCCAUGAUCUAUCCUCCUGUAUGGCCAAAUCCCCUGCCCCCAUAGGCCACAGAUGCCAUGGCCCACGUGGCCGGCUUCACUGUGGCUCAUGACGUGAGUGCUCGUGACUGGCUAACAAGAUGCAAUGGGAAACAGUGGCUGCUGGGAAAAACCUUCGACACCUUCUGCCCUCUGGGCCCUGCCUUGGUGACCAAGGACAGUGUAGCAGAUCCACACAACUUAAAGAUCUGCUGUCGAGUGAAUGGGGAAGUGGUCCAGAGCAGCAACACCAACCAGAUGGUAUUCAAGACAGAGGACCUGAUAGCCUGGGUGUCCCAGUUUGUUACCUUUUACCCAGGGGAUGUCAUCCUGACUGGGACCCCCCCACCUCCACCCAGGUGUCGGUGUAUUCAGGAAACCUCCUGUCUUUCUCAAGAAGGGGGAUGAAGUCCAGUGUGAGAUUGAAGAACUAGGUGUCAUCAUCAACAAGGUGGUGUGAUGGCUCCUGCACAGGCCCUGCACAUAGGAUGAGGGCAUCUGCUCCCACUCAGCCUAGCCCAGGGAAAGGCCCAGUGACAGGUGUGGACAGGUGCCAGCCCUGCAAGCCGCCUCUUCUCGGUAGAAGGGAGAAGGACAGAGCUCUCUUCAAUAAAUUCGUCGGGUCAAAGCAGCA
rnacentral:lncRNA from 1 species